UCCUACGGGGGGCUGCAGUAGGGAAUCUUCGGCAAUGGACGAAAGUCUGACCGAGCAACGCCGCGUGAGUGAAUAAGGUUUUCGGAUCGUAAAACUCUGUUGUUAGAGAAGAACAAGGAUGAGAGUAAAAUGUUCAUCCCUUGACGGUAUCUAACCAGAAAGCCACGGCUAACUACGUGCCAGCAGCCGCGGUAAUACGUAGGUGGCAAGCGUUGUCCGGAUUUAUUGGGCGUAAAGCGAGCGCAGGCGGUUUCUUAAGUCUGAUGGGAAAGCCCCCGGCUCAACCGGGGAGGGUCAUUGGAAACUGGGAGACUUGAGUGCAGAAGAGGAGAGUGGAAUUCCAUGUGUAGCGGUGAAAUGCGUAGAUAUAUGGAGGAACACCAGUGGCGAAGGCGGCUCUCUGGUCUGUAACUGACGCUGAGGCUCGAAAGCGUGGGGAGCGAACAGGAUUAGAUACCCGGGUAGUCGGC
rnacentral:rRNA from 1 species